CCUACGGGGGGCUGCAGUGGGGAAUUUUGGACAAUGGGCGCAAGCCUGAUCCAGCCAUUCCGCGUGAGUGAAGAAGGCCUUCGGGUUGUAAAGCUCUUUCGGCCGGGAAGAAAUCGCACGGGUUAAUACCCUGUGUGGAUGACGGUACUGGAAGAAGAAGCACCGGCUAACUACGUGCCAGCAGCCGCGGUAAUACGUAGGGUGCGAGCGUUAGUCGGAAGUGCGGGGCGUAAAGCGUAAGCAGGCGGUGAAAUCCCCGGGCUUAACCGGGGAACUGCGGGUGUGACUGCAAGACUUGAGUGCGGCAGAGGGGGGUGGAAUUCCACGUGUAGCAGUGAAAUGCGUAGAGAUGUGGAGGAACACCGAUGGCGAAGGCAGCCCCCUGGGUCGACACUGACGCUCAUGCACGAAAGCGUGGGGAGCAAACAGGAUUAGAUACCCUGGUAGUC
rnacentral:rRNA from 1 species